CUCAGGCUUUGCACAGCCUCCCUACGAUUCACAGCUGGAAAUCUGUAUGUUAUCAGCAAUUGAUGAGCGUGUAGCCCACCUUCUAGCCAAACUGUUUCCGCAACUUUGGAAGAGCAUGGGGGAACUACAAAAGAAUAAAGCUGCUUGGGCAGGCGGGAUGGAAAGAUGACACAAUGAAAGUACUUUUGAGAGUAUCUACUCUACACUUUCCACUGGAAGGACCCAGCUUACCUUGUGAAGAGAGCUGCUUGGGCCUGGCGCAGUACUCUAGAGCCUCCGGAGAAAUCCUUCAUACUCCGCCUCCUUCAUACUCCGCCUCCUUCCUUCCCCAGCCCCUUUGGUUUAUGACAGAGGUGAAGAAAAUGUAGACUUCUCGGUGUUGCUGUUCCACAGUUCCACAUUUCUGCAUUUUAUGAGAAACACACUUGGAAGAGGGAUAAACAACAGCGUGAAGCUUACUAGUUCUGAAAUAAAAAGCCAAAUGAAGGAGGAGGUACAAAAAAUAGGAUAAGUAUGAUACUCCAGAGCAGAAGUACAGCCUUGAAGAAAAAUGUCUGAAUAGUCCAGAAUGGACAAGAAUAAUUGAGAUCAGAAUUCCUGUGGGAUGCGCUGAUUAUAUAUUUGGAUGUCCUCCUCCAGAAGCAAGAUUAUACGCAUUUCUGUUAAUCAAUAGCAAAAAAGGACAACGGCUAUCUGUUCCAAUCUCCUCUACUAAAAUAUAUCCUCCAUGCUACAUAGUCCUAAUAAACAGUAACAUUCUUUGCUUAAUCAUUAUGAGUUUCCCCAAAAUAGCAGAAACACAACCCCAACUAAAAGAUGCAUAUACUAUAAAGAUCAUGCUGCAUGUGAAUUUCUAACCCCAAACAGUGAUUUGUCUAAAGCAGGGUUCCCCAAAGUGGCCAAUGUCAAUCCCCAAAGGUUGAUGGGAUCAUCCAAGGGGUUGAUAAAUGUCUGUGGGUCAAUAGGUGGUCGAUAAAUAAUAGAAGGUCGAUUGGGGUCUAUCUUUUGGGGUCUCUGUAGGGCUCCACGCCAGUCCCUAGGCCUGAAUUUCUAACCCCUAACUGCGUGGUGAGACAAUGUUGCCCAGGGUUGGAAUGGUCAGCCACC